CAUACAGGGCUAUCAUUCGUCUGGGUUAAAGCAGUUGUUGUGAUCAGGCAGAGAGAAUUUGAGAGCAUCAACAAAAAUCCUUAUCGGCUACACUUCAUAAAUGUUUUCUCAGUGGCUGUUUGAUAUAGAUGUUUCAUUCAUUGCAUUAGAACAUAUGAUUCUGGGAGCAAAUUAUCUUCGCUGAUCUGUUUUAGAGAGAUGCCUGAUUAGCUGCACAAGCAUACAUGGUUCUGUUAAUAAUUUGUUUGCCUUGAUCAUCUUGAUAUUCAGUUAUGUUGGUAUGGUCAGAAAACAAGCUUCAAAAGUAUUUAUGAUGACCGUUUGCAUGGUGGGUCUUGUCAGCAAUAUGCUUUGCAUAUUCAUGAUUCAACCAUUUGUUGGAUGUUUUAGUUUACAUGUUUCUCCGGAAAAUGUUUGUAUGUCUAUGUAGUCGUUUUGGAAUGGGCUAUGAUUCUUUUUUAGUAUUUUAGUUUACACCACUAUAUUGGUAUAGUAUAGGUUUGUACUGUUUCCUUGGGAAUCUAUAGAUCCAGUCAAGCUGGGAUAGGAUACAUUUGUUUUACUCGGUCAUGGCGAUGGCACUCGAUACCGAGGACAUGGCAACAGGUCAAGAGUCCAUCUUUUUUAUACAUUUUUGCAGGCUUUCCUCUCGAAAUGCAGAACUCUUUUUCGCUCCCCAUCGAUGACGGUCUUCUUGUAUGAACAUUUUCAUCUAUGCUCCCUAUUUUCCUUGCUCCACUAAAUAAAAUUUUUAGUACCAAAAUGGUGUUGAUUAAUCAUUUUCUACACCUAUAUAUGUGUGUUUCAGGGUGUUUACCUUUGCGGUUAUCAUUAUGAGGCCUUGUAUGGAGCAAUACCUUAUAUUAUAGUUCACCCAGAAGGGAACAUAAUGGUUGACAGGUAAAUAGAUUCAACCUAUGAAGUCGCUCCUCGGCUACAAGGUUGUAUAUGUUUCUGAUAGAAGUUCAGUUUAAGCACAAGUAAUAGUAUUGAACGAUUUGCAUAGCAUGGUGACAUAAAGGAAGUAAGUAAUAGAUCCCUCUAGCGUAUAUGUGUAGUUUACGGUUUGUCGUUAAUUGAUUUUUGGUCGGAACCUUGAUGGGCACAUCAGCCAUGGUUCUUGCCUCUUAUUUGGAGAGCAUGAACAAAUUGGAAAAUCAGUAGUGAUGGCAGAGAAAAUACUAAGUUUGCUUCCAUUCAUAUUAUCAGCGGCUACAUUCUCUUGGAUAGUAAUGUUGGUUUACAUGUUGAUAUCUUUUUACUUUUCCCUUACUAAAAUAAUUACUUUACCUAGGAGGCUACAUUCUGAUAUUAUCACUACGUAUUACACAUGAUUUUAGAGGAGGCUAAAACAACUUAGUAAUAAUCGUGCACAUAUACAUCACUAUCUGGAAAUGAUUUUAUGGGACGAGCACCGGACUUGUGUUUGACAAUAUAUGCUGAAAUGUUAUGUGUUCUUUACCUUUAGAUUUAUCACUCUAGGUGAAGUGAAUUUUGUUUGUAAGGAGCACGAGAGGCGAGGCCUGGCCGAAGUGGAGGAUGUCCCAUGGUGAGGGGAGGGGAGGGCAAGGCAGAGACAUGCAACAUCGAGGGUUGCAACCGUCAGCGGAAGACACCUUCUAAAAUUCCCACUCACAACGGUUAGAUGCUACUCUAUUCCUCUCCAUUGUCAUUGACGCUAUUACAAUUACAGGUUUAAGCCUCUUUGUCCCUCUCCUAUAAUCUAGCAAUAUAUCAGUUCUUAAAUUGAUUCAGUUCUUCAGCAUACAUAGCAUUCAAAUGCUUGAUGUUUUAAGUUUUAACUCUUUGGGUGGCCUUGCUUGAUAUUCUCCUCAUGUCUAUAGAUUGUUACAACGGAAUAACUUGUCAGACUCUUUGCAUGUUUAUAAGCUUAUCAGUUCAUUUUUCAAGAUUAUAU
rnacentral:lncRNA from 1 species